rnacentral:snoRNA from 1 species
UUGUAAUGAUGUUGAUCAAAUGUCUGACCUGAAAUGAGCAUGUAGACCAAUUUAACACUGAAGAA